rnacentral:rRNA from 1 species
UGGCCUUGACAUGCAGAGAACUUUCCAGAGAUGGAUUGGUGCCUUCGGAAACUCUGACAC